rnacentral:rRNA from 1 species
UACGGGGGGAGCAAGCGUUGUUCGGAUUUACUGGGCGUAAAGGGCGCGUAGGCGGCGCAACAAGUCACUUGUGAAAUCUCCGGGCUUAACCCGGAGCGGCCAAGUGAUACUGUCGUGCUAGAGUGCGGAAGGGGCUACUGGAAUUCUCGGUGUAGCGGUGAAAUGCGCAGAUAUCAGGAGGAACACCGGUGGCGAAGGCGGGGUCCUGGGCCAGUACUGACGCUGAGGAGCGAAAGCCAGGGGAGCGAACGGG